GCAAUUCACCUGUGCUACUGGAAGGGGUGGAGCCUGGCUCCACCUCUCCUAGAUCCCAUUUAAAAGCUGACUAACACUAAGAAAGGAUCUGUUUCUGGAGAUUGCUCCUUGUGGAGUUUACUGUGAGCCUGUGACACUGCUAUCUGAGGAAAGUAGCCUGUGGAGCUGUCAUUAACUUCAGAAAUAAGUGAUUGACCUUCUUCAAUGACCUUAUGUGCACAGGAGAACAUAAGAGUUCUUGGAAGAGAGAAGAAGCUUCUUUAGGUCCAGGGAGUAAAAAGAAACAGUUGAACCAGUUCUAAUCUGCGGUUCCAGCCUGAGAAUUUGCUGAUAGGCUGUAGGAAUCAGUGCUGAGCAUAGGAAAUUUAGUGAAGUGUUUUCAAAAUUGUGCCUCUACAAUGUUUGAAAGUUGUUAACUACUGAUGUUUAAGGUGAAAACAUAGCAUAGAUUUUCUAGGCAAGGGAGCUGUAUGUUUUCCUGGCAAUCUGCAAGACUCAGGAAUGCAGUGAGCAUCUAUGGUUCUGAGCUAGAUAUAAAAAGUAGUUCAACAGGAAUGAGCAAUUCUGGUUAGUAGAAAGAAACAUUUGAAGUUGUAUCUGCUUACAGAAAAUACAACUGUAAGUCUUCGUGCUUUGGGGAAAUAACUGAUCAACAGAACCACAACAGCAGUGCUCUCUGGCUGGAGGCAGUACAAAAUAAUCUGCAUAAUUAGGGGUGAAGGGUCACAUCUUCCUAUGUAGCUGCCAGACAGGACACCAGACUACAUAGCUGCUGAUCCUGGGUUGCAGCUGACAUCCUCUUAGCAAGGGCAAGAAAUAUUUUCUGGCCCUGGGAAAGUGUCUGCCAUGCAGCAAAUUCAAAGAGGGGCUGAGGUAUCUGUCACGUCUCCUAGGCAUCCCUAGCACUGCCUCCUGCGGCAGUACUCUGCUGGUUAUUGCACAACGUGCUCCCAACACAUUCAUCAUUUGCUGUUCAUUCAUCAUCUCUCUUGUAUCUGCAUGGGGUACUGACAGCACGGACUGCUAGACAAAAAGAUAUCACUCACUCAAAGUUUCUUUUUACUAUGCAGAGUAUUUGGAAGAGCAAAAUAAGCCAAUGCCUGUAGAGUGCUGGGACCAGGUGGAGCUAAAACAAGCCUAGGAGAAAUGCAAGUGUUUGAAAAGAAUUCAGCAGAUUAGAUGCAUCCUUGUUAGAGAACCAGACCAUAAUUGCUUUACCUGAGAACAAAGAGGCCUUAUUACUAGGAAGCUGAGAAGCACCCAGUUUGUCUUCAGCAUUAUGGUAAUCUCCAUGAAGUGUUCAGAGGCAGGGGAAGGAGAAACUGUGGCUACCCUACUGCCUGUUAUUGGUAUUAAAGUGAUCUGUUAUUGGUAUUAAAGCAAUGCGAGAAGAAUAUGGCCUGUUUGAUUCUUAACACUGCAUUCCUUGAUGAAGAGAAAUAGUACCCAGGGCAAAGAUGAGUAUCAAUUAAGCUAUGUUGCUUUGGUUACUAGUAAUGAUGUCAGAAAAUCUCAGGAUUAUUGCAUUUAAGAUGAACGUUAACUUUUUAGCUUACCUUGUUACAUCUCAGAAAGAAAUGUUCACUUCAGUGCACUUUGGAAACUAUGUGCGCUGGAGUUUAGAAAACAAGAUUAUGCAGGGUCUUUCAAUGGGACUUCUGCAAGGCUGUCUACAACAAGAGAAGUACUUUGUGCCACCAGACUCCUAUGGGCUCUGAAGCAGAACAUAUGUUCAGUGGUCUGUGGUUGCUAGGUGGUUCUGCCAGGAUAAAGCACUAAAUAGCAUCUCUUACUCUGCUACUAUGCCUCUUUGCAGCCCCCCAUGGUCUGCUUUAUCUGUGGUUCUUCAAGCAGUGCUUGAGUAAGGGAGGUGGGUGGCUUUGACUGCUUGCUCCUGCUCAGGAUUCCUUGGUUAAGUAUCUCUAGUGUUGUAGAAUUAGGGCAAUAUAUGGUCAGGUUGAGGUUGGACUUGAUGAUCUUUAAGGUCUUUUCCAAGCUGAGCAACUCUAUGAAUCUAUGAAGAUGCUGGAAAGAAUAUUUCAUCUAAAAACUAUGAGUUUGGAUCAAAAGUAAUCUGCACUCAAGCCUGCUGAUGCCAUCCAUUUUUAGCCAGACUCUCCCUUAAGGGCUUUCCUGUGAGCUUCAGCUUCUUGUGUUGUUUUCCCCGGUUGGUGCUGUCUAGUGCAGUGGGCGCUGAAGCCAUUGGAAGUUCGAUCAUUGACUUUCAUGAAGGAAACCUCAGGAUCUGAGCGUUUGAGCUGGGGAGGGUACUUAGCAGUACUCAAGCAAAGAUCUGACCGAGUCAACGGGAGUUUUGCCACCUUUGGAAAAUGCAGGACGGCACUCUGCCUUUGCACUGUCCUCCCUCCUGCUACAGGGUGACAGCAAAACAAACCGAAACCAGUGUGUUGUACUCCCUUCAGCCUGCUUGAAAAGAAAAUGUUUUUCAAAAUUACAACUUAGGGAGAAAAUCAGCUCUUAAAUGUUGAAAAACCCUUUGAAAAACAGGGAAUUUGAAACACAAUUAUUAUCCCAGAUAAUCCCAAUGCUCACACUAUAUGAACUUUAAAAUGGGUUAAAAAUGCUGUGUUUUUGCAUACUGUCGUUUCCUCUUUAGGUAUAUGUAGAACGAUGGGGUUACAAAAGGGUAACCCUUUUUGUAUCAUAAAGAGUUUAUUCCAGAAUAAACUUCAGGAAUUUUCUUGAUUCAGCUUUGCACAUACGCUAGAAUGAAAUGUAACUAGGAAGUUUUGUAUGCAAAUGGAAUUGCCAUCGCUAAUUGGUAGUUCCAAGAAGACAGCCCUCCCUGGGGUCCAGGCCAAAGCAAUGGACAGACAAGGAAAAAAAAACUCCAUCUCUUUUAUGUGAAAUCUAUCCUUUUUCUUCCAUACACUUUUCUUAAUGAAUGAAGAGGGCUGGCCAUACGGUUUGAUCUUUUGGGUUGUCCCGUGUGGAGCCAGGAGUUGGACUCGACGAGCUUUGUGGGACCGGGAAUAUCCUGUGCCCGUAUGAAAUACGGCAGUGCCCGGCGAUGCUCCGCUCCACCGUGGGUGAAAGCGGCAGCGGGCAGCCA